rnacentral:lncRNA from 1 species
UUUUACUGAAUACAAAUUGAUCCUUUGAAAUGUUAUGACAUUCAAUUCACCGUAGAAGCAUCUCGAGUACACGACCUCGGCCGUGGUUGAGGUACUUGUUGUUAUAGAGUUGUAUGAAUAUGACUUCGGCCUAAGUGAUCUGUUUCCCUCGUGAUGCAGAUUCUUAUUUUGUCAGAUUUUAAUCCAUACAAAUACCAGAGUUGUGUCUGAAGCAAUAUUCAAAACCAUGACAUGUGUCUAUACGCCCUCACAGCAUGCAAAGCACUCUCACCAAAGCCUUGGACCAGCCCUCCCAAGCUUUUUAAAAGGAAAAAAUAGAGUUUUUCUCCAAGUUUUUGGGUGAAAAAAAUUUAUUUUAGAACAGUUGCCUCAGUAAUUGUCCACGCCUAAAAACGCUUCUUGAAGAAACUUUAAGGAACAAAUUGUAAACAAAAUUUCACUUUUGUCAAAUUCCGCACGACCAACCGUUUUCUAAGACUAGUAUCGAAAACACGUUUUCAAACAAACACUUCUCUUUGGUAUCAGUGCUUCAAUUUACCAGUCUAUUGUCAAGCAAGCGUGUAUAUACAUUUAGAACGUAACUAAACUAUAUGAAAAAAGAAAGAACAAUUAAAACAAUUAAUUGCCCAAUAGAUGCAAGUUCCUGGUGUUGGGACCGCGCGUGCCCUCACCCCAACCCCGCAUUAGUAUGAUAUUGUCCGCUCUGGGCCAAGCUCCCACGGAUUUGUUUUUGAGCAUCUCCCAAAAGGCCUCAUACUAAUGGGGUUGGGUAAUCAUAUAUAUGUUGGUCUCUUUUUGUCUUUUCUUUCGGUGUGGGAGCUUUUGUUUGCACCCAACAAACCUCCCCUCAAAUAAACGACCACACAACUCGUGACCUCCCCUUCAGCGAUCCGCUAGGUCACACCAUUUCGAUCUGCCAAAUCAUUUUUGUACCGCCGUUAACACCAAACGGGACACGCCGCCCGACCACCACUUGUCAGGAAGACUUUCGACACAACCACCUGCAAAUCUCUGGUGAUGUUGUCACACCGGGCACACCGAGAACUCCGCACAACGCGGUCCGCCGCUCCCGCUUGCACGAAUCUGGGCUCUGAUACCACAUGUUGGGACCGUGCGUACCCUCACCCCAACCUCGCAUUAGUAUGAUAUUGUCCGCUUUGGGCCAAGCCCUCACGGAUUUAUUUUUGAGCAUCUCCCAAAAGGCCUCACACUAAUAGGGUUGGGUAAUCAUAUAUAUGUUUGUCUCUUUUUCUAAUUUCUUACGGUGUGGGAGCUCUUGUUUGCAUCCCAACACCAAGUUGGGGGACAAAUAGGACCAAGUGAAAUGUCAGGAUAAAAAGAUCGAAUUUUUUCAUCUACAAGACUGUAAUACCGCCGCAACUACCGGGGGACCCGCCGCCCGACCAUCUGUUUCUGUCGGGAAGACUUUCAACACAAGGCAUUUCCGCAGACACCUUACCCCGCUAGCCCGGAGAUCAGCUUUGGUCCAGUUUGGUACACCGUCGACUUCGCACGCGUCGGUCCGCUACUCCGCCUUCCGAACCGGGCUCUGAUACCACUUGUUGGGACCGCGCGUGCCCUCACCCCAACCCUGCAUUAGUAUGAUAUUGUCCGCUCUGGGCCAAGCCCCCAUGGAUUUGUUUUUGAUCAUCUCCCAAAAGGCCUCAUACUAAUGGGGUUGGAUAAUCAUAUAUAUGUUGGUCUCUUUUUCUCUUUUCUUCCGAUGUGGGAGCUUUGUUUGCA